rnacentral:lncRNA from 1 species
UGGAAGUGAUCUUAUGUAAUCUGCUCAAUGGAGGAUGGAGGAGUAACAUGGACUGACAUACAGCCAUAUAUCAGAUGCCUCUCAAAGCAAAGGGACAGUAGUAAAAAAUCACUAGAGAAAUCAAGCCAAACGCAUCCUAGGGAAAGAAAAGAAAUCUACCUUCAUAAGCAAACAGUCAAACCACCCACCUUGUCUGAAAAAAAGACUGGAAAAUCCCUUCAAACAAGUUCUAAUCCCUGACUGACAGAUGAUAUUGGGUUCCUUUCCCUCAAGUACAGAUUAGAUCUGUUCGAGCUGGGCACGUCUUCAAAAAAAUACUUUUACAUCUCAUUUCUUUCAUCACUCUCUUCUCACUUUUCUCAAGCAAGACUUCACCUGUGAUGUUUGUAUUUUGCUCCCUUCUCAUCGAACGAGGGAAAGGCUGUUUUCUGUUCUUUGCAAGGAAGCCUCUCCCUUCUGCAAAUACUGUAAGCACCAACACCUCUGCAAUGAGAGCCCUUCUGAGGUGACAGAAGCUGCUAUUGGCACUAAACAAUCCACCUGCUUGUAGGGAAAGUAGAAUCUCCCCCCCACACACACACACACAAUACAAAGUUCUCUCUAAGUGGACAUGUUCUAUAGUAGGUGUUGGAAACGUGAAAAGAAUCUGGCUUGAUUUUGUUGCAUUUCUCUCAGUCCUGUCUGCACUCCUCCUGCCAGUUCUUUUGUGGAAGAUAUUAGUUUGCAAGAUAUUGUGAGGGAUGGAUUUUUAUAGGGGAAUUCCUGCAUAUUUGUGUACAUUUUACUAAUGGGCACAUGCAGUAUUUAUGUAUGUUGCCCAAUUUAUAAAUUUUUCUUAUUGACUAAAAAUGACUCCAUUUUUCAGUUGUGUAGAUUUUAGGUAUUCACGUUUAAAAAUGCAUGCAGACACACAUAUAUUUAAUUUCUUCAAAAAGCUCUGUAUGCCUCUCAGAUGUGUGAACUGUCAAGGCAAGAUAAAGUUCUUUCCACAACAGGUCUGAAGUGUAAAAAUAAUG